rnacentral:lncRNA from 1 species
ACAAACACACACAGGCCUGAGCUCCGGAUAUUUCUCCUGUUCUGGAGACAGUGAGAAGUGAAAGAGAAAUGGCUGCCCCUGCACCACUUACCGCGAAGGAGGCUCAAGGCUGGGGGGCCCCUCUGCCUUCCAGUGACCGCCCGUGUCACAUCCUGACCCGCUCAGCAGGAGAACACAGCAGGUCCCUCCGACCGCAGUCGGCCUCUCCAGCCUGCCAUGCCUCUGGCCAUGAGGCGACCCGCUGGAGUGAUGGAUUCCCGUCACUACCACCCACAGGGCGAGGGGGUGCAUUGGUCUGCUUGGGCCGCUGUAACAAAAUGCCACAGCCUGGAUGAGUGACUGACAUUGCUUCCCCACCGUUCUGGAGGCUGGAGGCCCGAGAUCGAGGUCCCUGACACUAUUUCAGUGAUGCCAGAGCCCAGGAGGAGUCGACCAAGCCCCAGCGUGGCCAUAAGCACCUUCGCAGGACCACGGAGUCGCUGCAGGUGUUCAGCCCUGUUGAGAGUGGGAGUCGGUGUCGAUGGUCACAGCUCAGUAACUCAUCGUCACCAGCGAGUACCACAGAGCAGACACAACUGCACUUCUCUGUAGAGCCUCCAGUCGAUACUGAGAGCCACUGGGGCGUCUGACACCCAAGGGUGCAGACAUUCACUCCAAGUCCAGAGACCGCGCCCUUUCUAAGGCCCUGUCUCACAGUCGCCCCGUGCUCAUUGUGCCGGAUGUUUCCACAGCCACAGAGACGGUGAGGUGCAGCCUAGUGCAUAUGACUGACAGAAACGUGAAGCCACAGUGGACGCCUGGAUGAGACACAGAUCACCUUCCAAAUCUGAGUGUGGCCUUGGGACCAACCAGGCAGCCAGGGAGAAGGCAGAGACCAGAGGGAACCCAGGUGCCCUCAAUCCCAGCCUCCUCUAUCCCAGCCUCCCAAUCCCAGCCUCCCCAAUCCCAGCCUCCUAAUCCCAGCCUCCUCCAUCCCAGGACCCCCACUCCCAGCCUCCCGAUCCCAGCUUCUCUGAUCCCAGCCUCCCCUAAAACCCAGACUCUAUGAAUCCCAGCCUCUGAGGUGGGAACUGUUAGUAACCCCACUCCAUGGACAAGAAAGCUGGGGCCUGGCGAGGCUAACAGACUAUCCUGAUGGUGUGAGGGAGGGAUCGGCCUCUGAGGGCUGCUUCCACCCAUCUCACCAGUGGCUGCAGGCUCCAGGCGCCACUUUCCUUGAGUCUAUGUUCUUUCCAAGCAUCCUGCAGCUCCAGAAGCUCUGGAGCCGCCAGCACUGAGAGAAGCGAUGGAGCUGCAUGCAGGGAAACUUUGUUGACAGCGGUGUCUGGAUGGACCAGCAGAGGGCACUCUCACCCACGGGGAAAAUCGUGCGCCCGGCCUCGUCCACCGCCAGAAGACGCCGCUACACAAUGGAGUCUCGCUCUGUCGACCAGGCUGGAGUGCAAUGGUGCGAUCUCGGCUCACUGCAAUCUCUGCCUCCCGGUGAGAGGUGAAGCCAGCUGGACUUCCUGGGUCUAGUGGGGACUUGGAGAACUUUUCUGUCUAGCUAAAGAUUUGUAAAUGCACCAAUCAGUGCUGUGUCUAGCUAAAGUUUGUAAACGUACCAAUCAGCACUCUGUAAAAAUGGGCCAAUCAGCACUCUGUAAAAUGGACCAAUCAGCACUCUGUAAAAUGGACCAGUCAGCAGGAUGUGGGCGGGGUCAAAUAAAGGAAUAAAAAGCUGGUAGCCGAGCCGGCAGUGGCAAAC